GUUAAGCGACUAAGCGUACACGGUGGAUGCCCUGGCAGUCAGAGGCGAUGAAGGACGUGCUAAUCUGCGAUAAGCGUCGGUAAGGUGAUAUGAACCGUUAUAACCGGCGAUUUCCGAAUGGGGAAACCCAGUGUGAUUCGUCACACUAUCAUUAACUGAAUCCAUAGGUUAAUGAGGCGAACCGGGGGAACUGAAACAUCUAAGUACCCCGAGGAAAAGAAAUCAACCGAGAUUCCCCCAGUAGCGGCGAGCGAACGGGGAGCAGCCCAGAGCCUGAAUCAGUGUGUGUGUUAGUGGAAGCGUCUGGAAAGGCGCGCGAUACAGGGUGACAGCCCCGUACACAAAAAUGCACAUGCUGUGAGCUCGAUGAGUAGGGCGGGACACGUGGUAUCCUGUCUGAAUAUGGGGGGACCAUCCUCCAAGGCUAAAUACUCCUGACUGACCGAUAGUGAACCAGUACCGUGAGGGAAAGGCGAAAAGAACCCCGGCGAGGGGAGUGAAAAAGAACCUGAAACCGUGUACGUACAAGCAGUGGGAGCACGCUUAGGCGUGUGACUGCGUACCUUUUGUAUAAUGGGUCAGCGACUUAUAUUCUGUAGCAAGGUUAACCGAAUAGGGGAGCCGAAGGGAAACCGAGUCUUAACUGGGCGUUAAGUUGCAGGGUAUAGACCCGAAACCCGGUGAUCUAGCCAUGGGCAGGUUGAAGGUUGGGUAACACUAACUGGAGGACCGAACCGACUAAUGUUGAAAAAUUAGCGGAUGACUUGUGGCUGGGGGUGAAAGGCCAAUCAAACCGGGAGAUAGCUGGUUCUCCCCGAAAGCUAUUUAGGUAGCGCCUCGUGAAUUCAUCUCCGGGGGUAGAGCACUGUUUCGGCAAGGGGGUCAUCCCGACUUACCAACCCGAUGCAAACUGCGAAUACCGGAGAAUGUUAUCACGGGAGACACACGGCGGGUGCUAACGUCCGUCGUGAAGAGGGAAACAACCCAGACCGCCAGCUAAGGUCCCAAAGUCAUGGUUAAGUGGGAAACGAUGUGGGAAGGCCCAGACAGCCAGGAUGUUGGCUUAGAAGCAGCCAUCAUUUAAAGAAAGCGUAAUAGCUCACUGGUCGAGUCGGCCUGCGCGGAAGAUGUAACGGGGCUAAACCAUGCACCGAAGCUGCGGCAGCGACGCUUAUGCGUUGUUGGGUAGGGGAGCGUUCUGUAAGCCUGUGAAGGUGUGCUGUGAGG
rnacentral:rRNA from 1 species